AUUGUUUUGGCAGAUUAGUGCAAUAAAUUUAGAAUUUAUAUAUGUGAUUUAUAUUACAAACAAUA
rnacentral:tRNA from 1 species